UACGUAGGGUGCAAGCGUUGUCCGGAUUUAUUGGGCGUAAAGCGCACGCAGGCGGUCUGCCAAGUUCGGAGUGACAGUUUCCGGCUUAACCGGAAAAGGUCUUCGAAAACUGGUGGACUUGAGGACUUGAGGGGGAGACGGAAUUCCGGGUGGAGCGGUGAAAUGCGUAGAUAUCAGGAGGAACACCUGCGGUGUAGACGGCUUUCUGGACCAUUGUUGACGCUGAGACACGAAAGCGUGGGUAGCAAACAGG
rnacentral:rRNA from 1 species